UGGCUCAGAUGGUAAAGAGUCUGCCUGCAAUGCAGGAGACCCAGGUUCGAUCCCUGG
rnacentral:tRNA from 1 species